UGGUGCUUUCUUCUUGCCUUUGCGCGUUCGCCACUCACAACCGUCUUGAAGGCGACAACCCCAAUUUCCAGUAUGGCAAGCUCCACGCUUUAGUAGCCUCAACUGUCCUGAUCGUCAGUUUUUCAGUCACUGUCAUCUGCUUGGUGUGACAGCAACGAUUAAGUAAACAGCCAGCUAUUACUAGAGUGGCGUCUAGCGUCAGCAGCAGAAUGUCCACUUGCUCAUCAUCGACUUCUUUUCGAUGCGUUCCAGUACACACCCAGGAGCAGCACUCGUACCAGCACCACGUCCAUCGACUCAAAUAAUUUCCACCAUCUUCCCAUAAGCAAAGGUGCCCUGCUAGUUCAAGAAUCUUUUUACACCGGCGAUCCUUCUUCUUUUAACGAAUACAACAAAUCCGCAGCGUUGAUGGUUGAAAGUUUAUUCAGUCCGUGUGAUGAUGCGCCUGGUUAUGGAAUGGAUGUGCCGGCCGAUGAGCUUCACAGUCGUAAGGGAUCCUUGGCGUCGUUGGGCAGGAACCCACAGGUGAUGCUGGCUGGAAUGCGACUGACAGAGCCAGAGGAAUCGUUCGUGAUCGCGACGAUGAGUUCCAAAUCACUAGACAUGUCGGUCUCCUUCUAACGCUUGGCUCUUCCAUGUUUGUCGGGAUCGCCGUCUGCGUGUAGACUUUGGUGAUGGAAGAAAUGACUGGCAUCUACGUCAUGUUACUUUUUCUAGACGAAACUCUUAAUUUCGGACAAGAAAUUUUUGUUUUUGUCAUUUUCGGCCUAGAACCUCGCCGUUUCCUGGCUCCUGUUUGGUCGGGAUUGAAACGGCGCAACAAGCUGAAGACGGUCGCCAGUUUGUUGUCGUUAACAGAAGCCGGCGAUGAGAACAAAAGAAACGAGCAGACCGUUGACCACACUUGCGAGCAGUUCAUGAUGUUCUACAUGGACAAAUGCAUCCGAGAUUUGGUCUGCGAUCGCAAGUGGCAACUGAAGGAAUACAGAGACGUAUUCUGUGGCAGCGAAAUAGUCGACUGGCUACUUUUGAUGGGUUUGGCACGCGAUCGUAGCCAGGCAGAGAAGUAAGGACAAGGUUUGCUUGACGGAGGUAUAAUAAACCACGUGGACGGCCGAAAAGAUUUCCACGAUCAGCCAUAUUUUUAUUCGUUUACCCAGUGAUUAGCUAAUGCCAAUAAGAGGCUUGUUGACAUUGUAAUUACUUGACGUGAUAGUUAUUGAGACAAACGUCUGUUAAGCAGGCUACGUGAUGAAUUUCAGCGUCUCUCUCACGAGUUCUUUCCUGUAGGCGAUCAACAACUGCAAUGAUCAUGUUCUACUUAUUUAUCGAUAACUCUGUGGACUUUCGUGUUGUCCAUCUGUCGUUGAUUUUUCAAAGCUGAUUUGUAUGACCUUGGCCUUUUAUGUCCUUCUCGAUGAACUUUUCUAGCUUCACGAGAAUUCGAUUUUGUCGAACCAUAACAACUUAUUUGAAACAAAUUGCCAACUAUUUUUUAAAACAACUAUCGUUUUAUAUUUGUGUGUGAUUUUUUAUCGUUUUCCUUUAAUUGCCACCGUUAUAUUAUUAAUUGUUCGGAUUUUUCUUUGUACGUUUUGCGAUAGAAAAAAUGAUUGAAAGAUAUUAUGUAUUCCGCCAAAUACGAGAAGCACACUUUAAAAUGGAAGAAAAAUACAUCGUGAAAAACAA